GUGCACGCUGGCGGUAGGCCUAACACCUGCCAGUCGCACGGCAGCACAGUAAGAGCUUGCUCUUCCGGGUGGCGAGUGGCGGACGGGUGAGGAAUACAUCGGAAUCUACUUUUUCGUGGGGGAUAACGUAGGGAAACUUACGCUAAUACCGCAUACGACCUACGGGUGAAAGCAGGGGAUCUUCGGACCUUGCGCGAUUGAAUGAGCCGAUGUCGGAUUAGCUAGUUGGCGGGGUAAAGGCCCACCAAGGCGACGAUCCGUAGCUGGUCUGAGAGGAUGAUCAGCCACACUGGAACUGAGACACGGUCCAGACUCCUACGGGAGGCAGCAGUGGGGAAUAUUGGACAAUGGGCGCAAGCCUGAUCCAGCCAUACCGCGUGGGUGAAGAAGGCCUUCGGGUUGUAAAGCCCUUUUGUUGGGAAAGAAAAGCAGCAGGUUAAUACCCCGCUGUUCUGACGGUACCCAAAGAAUAAGCACCGGCUAACUUCGUG
rnacentral:rRNA from 1 species